UAGAAUGCAAAAAGUCUGCUA
rnacentral:miRNA from 1 species